rnacentral:rRNA from 1 species
AGUGAACGCUGGCGGUAGGCCUAACACAUGCAAGUCGAACGGCAGCACAGAGGAGCUUGCUCCUUGGGUGGCGAGUGGCGGACGGGUGAGGAAUACAUCGGAAUCUACUCUGUCGUGGGGGAUAACGUAGGGAAACUUACGCUAAUACCGCAUACGACAUACGGGUGAAAGCAGGGGAUCUUCGAACCUUGCGCGAUUGAAUGAGUCGAGGUCGGAUUAGCUAUUUGGGGGGGUAAAGGCCCACCAAGGCCACGAUCCGUAGCUGGUCUGAGAGGAUGAUCAGCCAAGCUGGAACUGAGACACGGUCCAGACUCCUACGGGAGGCAGCAGUGGGGAAUAUUGGACAAUGGGCGCAAGCCUGAUCCAGCCAUACCGCGUGGGUGAAGAAGGCCUUCGGGUUGUAAAGCCCUUUUGUUGGGAAAGAAAUCCAUCUGGUUAAUACCCGGGUGGGAUGACGGUACCCAAAGAAUAAGCACCGGCUAACUUCGUGCCAGCCGCCGCCGUAA